ensembl:lncRNA
CCAAGAGCUAGAGCCAGAGUGAGGCCUCUGUAGGCCAUCCUGGGGGUGGCUGGCCACGGAGGGUCUAUAAGGGAGCCGGGGGGAGGGGCGAGCAAGGGAAGCGGAGCAGAGUUUCUGAGGUGGUGAGGAAAAGGAAUACAACAUGUGCCAGUAACUGUUUCAAUUUGCCCCUUAUCCUUGGAGAGGGUACCAAGGUAGCAGCCAGGAGGGCUGUAAUAGAGGCUGAACCAGAAGAAGGGCAUGGUGGGGGAGCCACCUGGCCUUCCUCUGUUGAGGCCUGGAAGCUUCUGCCCAGGCCAAGGCUUACUGCAGGAGGCCUUUCUCCCAGAGCUCUCUGCAGACUUGGUGACACAUCCCCAAGUCUUGUGUGAGCGCUGUUACCAAGGGGAGUAACAGCUAACAUCUACUGAGCGCGUGUGCCAGGCACCAUUCUAAGCACUCUUAGCAGCUGCAACUGCCACCUCCUGAAGUCCUGCCUCCAUUCACAGACCACACUCCAUGUGCCUGUCCCAUGGUAGGCAGUUCAUGUCCAGGAUCUCAAAUUGGAGCACAACCAAGUGAUGUCCAUUUUAUGGAUGGUGCAAUUGAGGCCCAAAUAUGUCAUCUCUCUACUGUAAGCUGCCGUCCUGGGAGUGUCCCACAAGUGCCUGGGUCUUGGUGAAGGCUUGGUGAGUGGUGAGUGUCUGUGGACUUGACUUGUCCUCCACUGGGAUUUACGGUGGAUGUGGUGUGCCCAUGGCGAUGAAGGCCUUGGACUGCUCUGACUUGAACCGGUUGUCCAUCUAUGCCACGGAGAUUCAUUGAGCACCCAUCACACGCUGGACUUGGUGCUGAGCACUUGGGAGCAAAUCACAGACAGGGGUCUUUCUCUCAUAGAGCUUACUGUUGUGGAAGGGAGAUUGGCAUUAAAGAUUUAAUAAAAGUUAAAUGACAGCCGUGAUACAUACCAAGCAUCUUGUGCAUUUGGGGAAUAAAGAAGUCCGGCUGAGGCUGGGGAGGGGGCAGGGCCAGCAGGGCAUUCUGGGCAUUGGCCAUGGGGAACUUAGGCAGGAGAGGGAGCCAUCCAGGUGUGAGCUUGGGAAAGGCCUCCUCCCUCCCUCCCUGGCAACUUCCACAUGCCCUGGUUAAUCUGUCCCCCCUCCCACUUGGUGGUGGGGGCAGGGCUCUUCCUGAGGGGCCAGGCAUUAUGUGCUGACAACCUAGUUCUCUCGGCCUUCUGAGUUCUGUCCCUCUCUUUUGGGGUCCAUCCUACAACAGAAACAGGCUGAAGCCCUUCUCUCUGUGGGCCCCGUCCCCAGACUGUUCAGCUGCCACCCUGCCCCAGCGUUUACCUUAGGACCCUCACUUUGCCGCCUCACGCUGUGGCCCACAGCUCUCCACAGAGCCACUCUGCGGCAAGACACAGACACUUGUCAGGCUGUGGAUUAGCACUGCUGACUACUUCCUUCUCAAAUUGCUCUUCACUUCCUGAGCUUCUAGAAUGCUACUCACUCCCUUAUUUUUGGUCUGUAAACAUGUCCACGCAACUUCAGCCUCAGGGUCUUUGCAGGUGCCAGUGUCUCUGGCCAGAACGCUGGCUCCUCUCCCAGCUCUUCUUCCUUUCUGGGCCCCAUGGCACCUCCUCCCAUCCCCCAGCUGCGACCCUUCGCAGCACUUCAGGCGUCUUAUGAACCAUUUACUUGCUUAUUAUCUGCCUCUCAGAAACCUGCUCAUCUUGAUCCUCAUGGUCUGAGUCUGUGUUCAUGUGUGUGUACCUGUUCGGGGAGGGGCGGCGGCCCCAGGGUCUCUGGGGUGUUUGUUGGGUGUUCAGUGUGUGUGUUCACGUGAGAGAGAUACAGGGCAUGACAGUUCCCAUGUGUGUUCAGGUCGGGCCCACCUGGCGUGUGUACCUGGACAGGUAUGUCUUUGCGAGGGGACCGGCUUUGGGGGGAAUGCCGCGCUAAACCCGCGUCCCCGAUGCGCCUGAGGUGUGUGGGGCGGUGUCUGUGUGCGGGGAUCGUCGAGGUGUACGUGCCCGGUGGGGACACGCAGCAGAGUGGGAUAGGGCACAGGCUCCGCGCAAAAGAAGCGG